GUAGGUGGCAAGCGUUGUCCGGAAUUAUUGGGCGUAAAGCGCGCGCAGGCGGUUCGUUUAAGUCUGAUGUGAAAGCCCACGGGCUCAACCGUGGAGGGUCAUUGGAAACUGGAGAACUUGAGUACAGAAGAGGAAAGCGGAAUUCCACGUGUAGCGGUGAAAUGCGUAGAGAUGUGGAGGAACACCAGUGGCGAAGGCGGCUUUCUGGUCUGUAACUGACGCUGAGGCGCGAAAGCGUGGGGAGCAAACAGGAUUAGAUACCCUGGUAGUCCACGCCGUAAACGAUGAGUGCUAAGUGUUAGGGGGUUUCCGCCCCUUAGUGCUGCAGCUAACGCAUUAGGCACUCCGCCUGGGGAGUACGGCCGCAAAGGCUG
rnacentral:rRNA from 1 species